GUGGAUUAGAUACCCUAGUAGUCCACGCCGUAAACGAUGUGUGCUGGAUGUUGGGCAGUCUGACUGCUCAGUGUCGUAGCUAACGCGAUAAGCACACCGCCUGGGGAGUACGGCCGCAAGGUUGAAACUCAAAGGAAUUGACGGGGGCCCGCACAAGCGGUGGAGCAUGUGGUUUAAUUCGACGCAACGCGCAGAACCUUACCAGGACUUGACAUGGGAGUGCCGCGCGCAGAGAUGCGCGUUUCCGCGAGGACACUCCGCACAGGUGCUGCACGGCUGUCGACAACU
rnacentral:rRNA from 1 species